rnacentral:rRNA from 1 species
AUACGUAGGGGGCGAGCGUUGUCCGGAAUGAUUGGGCGUAAAGGGCGCGUAGGCGGCCCGGUAAGUCUGGAGGGAAAGUCCUGUUUUUAAGAUGGGAAUUGCUUUGGAUACUGUCGGGCUUGAGUGCAGGAGAGGUAAGUGGAAUUCCCAGUGUAGCGGUGAAAUGCGUAGAGAUUGGGAGGAACACCAGUGGCGAAGGCGACUUACUGGACUGUAACUGACGCUGAGGCGCGAAAGUGUGGGGAGCAAACAGGAUUAGAUACCCUGGUAGUCCACACUGUAAACGAUGAAUGCUAGGUGUAGGGGGUAUCGACCCCUUCUGUGCCGCAGUCAACACAAUAAGCAUUCCGCCUGGGGAGUACGGCCGCAAGGUUGAAACUCAAAUGAAUUGACGGGG